GGCGGCCCCGCCCCGCAGCGUUUGAGGCGCCGCAAGCCUUCACGCCCCUCGGGCCUUGCAGAUCCCUCUCCCAGUUUCCGCGGCGGUCCGGUGCGGUCAGUACCUGUCUAAAAUCAAUAUUGCCGAGGCCUCCGCAGCAGUCAGGCCCUGCCACCGAGCUGUUCGUUACCUCGGCUCCCGGGUUCCCAGAUCUCUUCAUCCGGGGGCCGCCUCAGGAGGCACCACGCGGGCCCCGCUGCAGCCACGCGCCCCCGGAACCGGACCUAUAGAGCCGGGUAAGUGCCGCCAGUCGGGGCGCUUUCCCGGUGACCCCCAACAUAUUCCGGCCUUCUGGGAAAUGUAGUUCCCCGUCACCGCGAAGUGCCUCUUUAUCUGGGGGCUCGCGACAGCGUCUAGAGGAGCCGAGAACUACAAGUCCCAGUGUGUUUCGCCGCAGAGCCUGCCGGUUCCGCUGCAGCUACGUAGCAGUAUCCCCUUGGAUCCGGCCUCCCGCCCAGUGCCUUUGGUCGCCGGCUGCCGCACCCGAGCCUGUAACUGACCUGGCGUCCCUGCCCUUGCCUGGCGGCGGUGGGGCUAGAGGCCGGGGGCCGCGGGUCGUAGCUAUAAGCAGCUUCCCGCGCAGCCUCCUGCGGACUUGGACUUGGCCCGGGUCACACACGCCCAGGGCCCCACACGCCCAGGGCCCCACGCCCUCUUCUGAAAUUCGCUUUACUCUGGGGGCGGUGCGCGACGAGCACUGCCUAGAGCUUCCCGCCCCCGCGGCGCCCAGGCUCUUUAGCUCGGCCAAAGACCCCUCCUCCACUCAUUUUUUCCUUCAUUCAUUCUCUCAUUCACUCUCGAGUAUUUUCUGAACCAGACUGUGCGCUGAGGGUACGGUAGGGAACAACACAGAGUCCCCCGCCCUCGCUUCCUCCUGACUGAGAUAAAAGACAAAAUGUGAAUAAAGGGUUAUAAUAUGGAUGAGUACUGUGGUGGAAAAAACGGGGUGGGUCAAAUGGUACGGAAGGAUGCUGUCUUAGAAUGUGCAGGGGAGGUGCCAGAUGUGCCAAGUGUGAGGGCAGGGCAAACAAGGCAAGACGAAUGGUAUGUACAAAGGCCUGGAGACAGGACGGGCACCUAAGGAACAGAGAAAAGACCGGUGAGCUGUGGAGUAGUGAUGGAGGGGGUCAAAUGGAGAAGAGUUUAGACGAUCGGGUCCCAGAAGAACCCCUUUUGUAGGCCGGGUGUGGUGGCUCAUGCCUGUAAUCCCAGCACUUUGGGAGGCCGAGGUGGGCGGAUCACCAGAGGUCGGCAGUUCGAGACCAGCGUGACUAACACGGUGAAACCCCGUCUCUAUUAAAAAUACAAAAAAUAGCCGGGUGUGGUGCGCGCACCUGUAAUCCCAGCUACUCAGGAGGCUGAGGCAGGAGAAUCGCUUGAACCCAGGAGGUGGAGGUUGCAGUGAGCGGAGAUGGUGCCAUUGCAUGCCAGCCUGCGCGACAGAGCGAGACUCCCUCUCAAAAAAGAAAAAAGCCCUUUUGUAGCCAGGUGUUAUGUAAUAUGGGGAAAUAGACUGAGAGGUUCCAAGAUUUGCUCAGUCACCCAGACUGCUGGGGGCCCAGACAGGACUUCUGCAGUCAGCUGCUUCCUGCUCCAGAUGGCCCGUUUCUCUCCACCUUGGCCCACAGCACCUACCAGUGUUGAGCAUUUACUGAGCAGCCACUGUGUGCUGCUUUAGAGGUAGUCCCAAUCUUCACAACAUCGCUAGGAUGGGGCAGGCCAACCGAGGAGACAGGAAAGACACUGGCUUUGGAGCAUGCACUAUCUCUGUGACUGAGCCCACCUUCAUUUUCCUCAAAAGUAAAAGGGAAAUACAUGUUGGUAAAACUCAUCACCCAGGAACUGGCCUGUGGGAAGUGCUCAGUAGGCAUUGGCCCCCGGCAGGGCUGGGGACACAGGCUCAGGGCUGGUUCUCUGACUUACCACUGUUACUAAUGAGUGUCGGGACCCUUUCCCUGCUCAGUGUCCAGGCAGAGCUGCUAGAGGCAGAGCCAUUUCUGAAGGAGCCCCCCGCAGCGGGAGGGCUUCUAGCAAGUCUUUCCCCUCCGCCUACCACACAUCCACUUCACUGAUGUUCCAGUCUUCUGACCUAACUGGUCACUCCUGUUUUGUUAAGCCCA
ensembl:lncRNA novel transcript